rnacentral:rRNA from 1 species
UACAGAGGGUGCGAGCGUUGUUCGGAAUUAUUGGGCGUAAAGCGCACGCAGGCGGUUCGCUAAGUUCGAGGUGACAAUCACCGGCUUAACCGGUGAACGAUUUCGAAAACUGGCGGACUUGAGAGCGAGAGAGGGACCUGGAACUCCGGGUGGAGCGGUGAAAUGCGUAGAGAUCCGGAAGAACACCAAUUGCGAAGGCAGCUUACUAUGGUAUGAUUGACGCUGAGGCACGAAAGCGUGGGGAUCAAACAGG